GCAGCACGCCGCGUGGAGGAUGACGCAUUUUCGGUGUGUAAACUCCUUUUAUAAGGGAAGAUAAUGACGGUACCUUAUGAAUAAGCACCGGCUAACUCCGUGCCAGCAGCCGCGGUAAU
rnacentral:rRNA from 1 species